GGUUUGUCGCGUCUGCCGUGAAAGUCCGGGGCUUAACUCCGGAUCUGCGGUGGGUACGGGCAGACUAGAGUGAUGUAGGGAAGACUGGAAUUCCUGGUGUAGCGGUGAAAUGCGCAGAUAUCAGGAGGAACACCGAUGGCGAAGGCAGGUCUCUGGGCAUUAACUGACGCUGAGGAGCGAAAGCAUGGGGAGCGAACAGGAUUAGAUACCCUGGUAGUCCAUGCCGUAAACGUUGGGCACUAGGUGUGGGGGACAUUCCACGUUUUCCGCGCCGUAGCUAACGCAUUAAGUGCCCCGCCUGGGGAGUACGGCCGCAAGGCUAAAACUCAAAGGAAUUGACGGGGGCCCGCACAAGCGGCGGAGCAUGCGGAUUAAUUCGAUGCAACGCGAAGAACCUUACCAAGGCUUGACAUGAACCGGAACGGCGCAGAGAUGUGUCGGCCACUUGUGGCCGGUUUACAGGUGGUGCAUGGUUGCCGUCAGCUCGUGUCGUGAGAUGUUGGGUUAAGUCCCGCAACGAGCGCAACCCUCGUUCCAUGUUGCCAGCGGGUUAUGCCGGGGACUCAUGGGAGACUGCCGGGGUCAACUCGGAGGAAGGUGGGGACGACGUCAAAUCAUCAUGCCCCUUAUGUCUUGGGCUUCACGCAUGCUACAAUGGCCGGUACAAAGGGUUGCGAUGCUGUGAGGUGGAGCUAAUCCCAAAAAGCCGGUCUCAGUUCGGAUUGAGGUCUGCAACUCGACCUCAUGAAGUCGGAGUCGCUAGUAAUCGCAG
rnacentral:rRNA from 1 species